ensembl:misc_RNA Y_RNA Y RNA
GGCUGGUCCGAAGGUAGUGAGUUAUCUCAAUUGAUUGUUCACAGUCGGUACAGAUUGAACUCCUUGUUCACUCUUUCCCUCCUUCUCACUACUGCACUUGACUAGUCUUAA